rnacentral:rRNA from 1 species
GACGAACGCUGGCGGCGUGCCUAAUACAUGCAAGUCGAGCGAAGUUUUUCUGGUGCUUGCACUAGAAAAACUUAGCGGCGAACGGGUGAGUAACACGUAAAGAGCCUGCCUCAUAGACUGGGACAACUAUUGGAAACGAUAGCUAAUACCGGAUAACAGCAUUAACUGCAUGGUUGAUGUUUAAAAGUUGGUUUUGCUAACACUAUGAGAUGGCUUUGCGGUGCAUUAGCUAGUUGGUGGGGUAAAGGCCUACCAAGGCGACGAUGCAUAGCCGACCUGAGAGGGUGAUCGGCCACACUGGAACUGAGACACGGCCCAGACUCCUACGGGAGGCAGCAGUAGGGAAUCUUCCGCAAUGGGCGAAAGCCUGACGGAGCAACGCCGCGUGAGUGAAGAAGGAUUUCGGUUCGUAAAGCUCUGUUGUUAGGGAAGAAUGAUUGUGUAGUAACUAUACACAGUAGAGACGGUACCUAACCAGAAAGCCACGGCUAACUACGUG